AGCAGCCGCGGGAACACCGGCGGCCCGAGUGGUGAUCGUGAUUAUUGGGUCUAAAGGGUCCGUAGCCGGUUUGGUCAGUCCUCCGGGAAAUCUGAUAGCUCAACUAUUAGGGCUUUCGGGGGAUACUGCCAGACUUGGAACCGGGAGAGGUAAGAGGUACUACAGGGGUAGGAGUGAAAUCUUGUAAUCCCUGUGGGACCACCUGUGGCGAAGGCGUCUUACCAGAACGGGUUCGACGGUGAGGGACGAAAGCUGGGGGCACGAACCGGAUUAGAUACCCGGGUAGUCCCAGCCGUAAACGAUGCUCGCUAGGUGUCAGGCAUGGCGCGACCGUGUCUGGUGCCGCAGGGAAGCCGUGAAGCGAGCCACCUGGGAAGUACGGCCGCAAGGCUGAAACUUAAAGGAAUUGGCGGGGGAGCACAACAACGGGUGGAAGCCUGCGGUUUAAUUGGACUCAACGCCGGACAACUCACCGGGGGCGACAGCAAUAUGUAGGCCAAGCUGAAGACUUUGCCUGAAUCGCUGAGGGGAGGUGCAUGG
rnacentral:rRNA from 1 species